rnacentral:rRNA from 1 species
GAUGAACGCUGGCGGCGUGCCUAAUACAUGCAAGUCGAGCGAACAGACGAGGAGCUUACUCCUCUGACGUUAGCGGCGGACGGGUGAGUAACACGUGGAUAACCUACCUAUAAGACUGGGAUAACUUCGAGAAACCGGAGCUAAUACCGGAUAACAUGUUGAACCGCAUGGUUCAACAGUGAAAGACGGUCUUGCUGUCACUUAUAGAUGGAUCCGCGUCGCAUUAGCUAGUUGGUAAGGUAACGGCUUACCAAGGCAACGAUGCGUAGCCGACCUGAGAGGGUGAUCGGCCACACUGGAACUGAGACACGGUCCAGACUCCUACGGGAGGCAGCAGUAGGGAAUCUUCCGCAAUGGGCGAAAGCCUGACGGAGCAACGCCGCGUGAGUGAAGAAGGUCUUCGGAUCGUAAAACUCUGUUAUUAGGGAAGAACAAAUGUGUAAGUAACUAUGCACGUCUUGACGGUACCUAAUCAGAAAGCCACGGCUAACUACGUG